UUCAUUUUUUCAUUGAGAUUUUUGUAUCAUCUUUCUAUUCCUCAUAAUAAUGAAGUUGAGACAUAUUCACCAUUUUAUCUUUUUUGACCAUAUUGGAUUGGGUAUGUGAAUAUUCAAAAUUUGAUCCAGAUUGCGUUCACUUCUGCUGUUGAUAGCGUGGACUCUACUGCCUGCUUGUUUCUUGGAAAUUGUCAGCAUACUAGUAUACCCCGUUUGAAGUCCUAGAUUCGCAAGGUUGUAAUGGAAGAAAAAGAUGAAAAAAGUGCUCUAAGGGAAGACCAAGUUUCGCGGACAAAGCUUUUGUUGCUGCAAAAGCAGCAGCUGCAGCUGCUGAUGUGGCCCGCUAAAGUCAGGAGAUGCUCCCAUCUAAAAAUGAAGAAAAAGGUACUUUAAGGAACGAAGGGACGAUUUCUAAGACAAAGGCUUGAAAUGACUCGACGAGGUUGGAUAUUCACUCUUAUCCAAGGAAAUAUAUAUAAGCAACUAUGGAAGGACGUAUAGCGUGGAUCAGAGUUAUAUUAGAUAGCUGUAACAUGUCAAUUUAUCAAUUAGUUAUUGCAUAAAGCUUGCAAACUCAAAGAUAUGUUUGAUUAGAUUAAACAAAUUAUUAACAAAAUUCAACUGGCAUACCUAAAAUGUAUUAUCAGUUAUAAUAUAUAAGGGGAAGAUAAAACAGUUGGUAUAUAGGUAUAAAGGAAAAGAUUGCUUCA